rfam:Picea glauca, whole genome shotgun sequence.
GUAACGGUGUCUUUAGACACCACAUUUAUCUUUGAAAUUAUGU